UGCAGCAUCCGUAGCUCCUGUCUCGACGCUAAGGCUAUGGGUAAAUGCUCAUUAUCUGCUUACGAACGAUACCUCCUGCCUGAGGCCAAGCAAAUCUUGAUGCUCAAAAGCAAUGAGUGCCUUGUAAUUUCCGGCUUAAAUUCAUUAAUGUAUAGCAUAUUUCUGGGGAUAUCUCUAGUAUACUUAGCCUUGUACUUCAACUAGUGUCUGCUUAGACGUAUUGGUUUAUAGUCCUGCUGGCUCCUCUUACUGGCACUUCCAUGUAGCUCAUGGAAGGGAGGUUGCCUGGUAUGGUUCUUUGGGGGUCUCUGCUGCCGCUCUCCUUGUCUUAAACUUUUCCAUGUAUGCACAUGGAAGGGCAGGGAGGUGUGCUCUCCCUGCCUUAAGGUUUUCCACGUAGGCACGCGGAAGGACAAGGAGGUCCCAGAACAGAGCCAUACCGCCAAAUGUAAUUCUGCUUGGAAUAUAAGAUUUUGACGAAAGUGGUCCUGACUGAAC